GAGGUUUCAAGAUGUCUUUCUUUUCUAACAGACGCGCUGCUUUGCCGUCACCGUCAACGUAGCACCAUCGUGACUCAUCUAUAAAUACCCCAAACACUUGGGCCUUUUUUAACUUUGCAAUUUCAAGCCUCUUCCUCUCUCUAAGCUUUCUUGUUCUUGCUUGCCUUUUGUUCUUCUAUUCUUCAAUCCGUUCUCUGCUUUAUCUUAGUUCUUUGCUUCAAACAUUUCUGUAAUGGUGCACGGGAUUGGCGGUAUCGAACAUCUGGUUGAAUCUAGGGCUCACCACCUACCCCGCCGCCCUUGAUAUACUCCCAGUUCUGAGUGGCGUUGUGCGCCUUACUUCGGUGGAUUAGAAGAUCCUUUCUGGGGCAACCAAUAACUUCCACCCACACUUCUAGCUCCUGCGAAGGACUCCCUUUUGAUCAGAGAAGAACCAGACUUGGCUAAGGCCGAUACUCUGUCCCCUGACGACACUCUCCAUUUGCGCACCGAGAGAGGAGAUUUCCCUUGCAGCUUUUGUUGAACUGGAAGGUUUUUCUUUUUCGUGUCUUUUUUCUUCAUAACUGAGUACAAUGAUAUAUAGAUACAAAGAGUAAUUUUAGGGAGCUAUUCUAGGAUAUACAACGUCUAUGGAAGAAAUUGUGGUUGACCCUCGAAGUAUGGGAUUUUACAUUAAAACAGAUUCCUAUAAUUUCUCUAUUCUAACAUCUGAGAGAGAAACACUCCCCCUCACCUCAAGUUGGUGCAUAAAUAUCUGUUAUGCCCAACUUGUCAAGUGAGUCGUAGAAGUUCCUUGUGGACAAUGCCUUCGUGAGUAUAUCCGCCAACUGGUCUUCUGAUUUGACAAAUGGGAACCGAAUAUUUUUUUUUUCAAGGUUUUGUUUGAUGAAAUGUCGAUCCACCUCAACGUGCUUAGUGCGAUCAUGCUGGACAGGAUUGUGGGAGAUGUCAAUGGCUACCUUGUUAUCACAAAACAAGUUCAUUUCAGAGCUAGGAGCAAAGCCAAUCUCAGCUAGCAACAUUCUAAGCCAAAGAAGCUCCCAAAGACCCUUAGCCAUUCCUCGAAAUUCAGCUUCAGCGCUAGAUAAGGCCACUGCUUUUUGCUUCUUGCUUCUCCAUGUAACAAAUGUGAAGUAGCCCAAUGUGGAUUUCCUAUCAGAAAUAUUUCCUGCCCAGUUAGCGUCCGUAUAGCCAUCAACAUUCAAAUGAUUAUUCUUUGAGAACAUAAGCCCUUUUCCAGGAUAGGAGUUCAAAAAAAGAAGGAUUCGAAUUACAACAUUCAAUAUGGUCUUCACUAGGACAGUGCAUGAAUUGACUCACUAGUCACUACACUUACAGCGUAAGCAAUAUCUGGGCAGAGUAUGAGAUAAAUAGAUAACCUUACCUAUUAACCAUUGAUACCUCUCUUUGUCUGCUGGCACCUAAUCUGUAUAUUCUCCAAGUUUAUGAUUCAGAACAAUUGGAGUAUCAGCUGGUUUACACUCCAGUAACCCUACUUCUGAGGAGUGGAAUUGGAUGCCGAUGAUGGAAAGAAGGUGUCGUCGGACUCUAGAAAAGUAGCAUCCAUGGUGAUUUAGGUACGUUUGGUGGAGGAAUCAAAGCACUGAUACCCCUUUUUAUGUAAGACAUACCCCAAGAAUAGGCACCGAACUGCGCAUGGAUCCAACUUAGUUCGUUGAUUCUUAUGAAGGUGAACAAAAGCAGCACAGCCAAAAAUUCGGGGAGGAAUCAUCAAAAGAGCAAGUAAUGGGACAUGAUUAGAAAGAACCUUUACGGUUCAGUAAAUGCACGACCCUAGCGACAUCAUCAUUCCAGUUGCAACUAGGCACAUGCGCCACAAUCAAUAAAGCACAUGCAGUUUCUAAGAUAUGCCGGUUCUUCCUUUCGGCAAUACCAUUUUGUUGUGGGGCCUGAGAACACGAGGUCUCAUGGAGAAGACCAUGACUCUGAAAGUAUGCCUGAAAUGGCUGAUUAACAUAUUCCCUUCCAUUGUCAGAAUGAAGGAUCCGAAUCUUAGCAGAAAAUUGUGUCCGAACCAUGAUAUGAAAGGAUUUGAAAACACCAAAUACUUUAUCUUUGUGUUUCAGUAAGUAAAGCCAUGUCAUUUGAGUGCAAUCAUCGACAAAAAUCACAAACCAAUGAUGACCAGAAGACGUAGUUACAGGGGAAGGUCCCCACACAUCAAAAUGUAUUAAAGCAAAAGGAAUCACACUUUUAUUCAUGCUCACAGGAUAAGAAACCCUAUGACUCUCGGCUAAAAUGCAAGUAUUACAUUUUAAGUUUGAGUGCAUUAUAUUUGAAAAUAAAUCUGAAAAUAAGUGCUUCAAAUAACCAAAUGAUGGAUGUCCCAAGCGAUGGUGCCGUAGCCAAUUCUGCCUUUCCUUGUUAUUAACCUUAUGGUGCAUGUGAUUGGCUCUGCCCGGACUGAAGUCAUCCACGUAAUAUAAUCCCCCCCUCUUAGUAACACGCCCAAUUAUCUUCUUGAUGAGAAUUUCCUGAAGGAGACAAAAGGUAUAAUACAUUAAUACCACACGAUUGAGAUCAACAGUAACUUUGGCUUACAGACAUCAGUUUAUUGGAAAGAUAUGGAACAAGUAAAGUAUGAGAUAAUGAAAGAAAAGGAGAUAGAGUCAUAGUUCCAGCCCCGAUAACCGGAUAAGUGACCCCAUUAGCAUUAGCAACAUGACUUUGUCUCGGAGGAGUUGUAUGAGAGAAAUCAUUGGAAUCAAAUGUCAUGUGGUCUGUAGCCCUAGAGUCGAGAAUCCAGUUGUCAUCAUCAUUGUGAGUAGAGCUAUGAAGUGUGUUACUACAGUUACCUGGAUUAUGUGAAGAUUCUACUUGGGAGGUGAGGGAUAACGAAGGUUGACCGGUAACCACAACACCUCUCCCUGUGCUGUCAUCAAUAGUGGGAGCUUCACGUUUUUUGGGUGCCUGAAGAUCAUGCCACCAAUUUGGAUAUCCAUGCCUUGGAUGCCGUAACCAGUCCAGGAGCAUUAUCUGCACCUGAUGUCAUUACCAUCUGCCUGACAUCUUCCCGCCGGACAUGAGUGUAGGCCUGCUCAACCAUAGGGAAUGGUGUUAACUGGAGCACAUCACUCUGUGUCUUAUCUAGCCGGUCAUCCAAUUCAUCGAGGAAGAUAUAUAUAAACUCGAUCUUCCUGUAAAAUUGAAUUGUAUUUCUGAAUGUCACCAGCUUAUUUCAUUGGGUUAGGACGACAAAAAAUGAUUUCUUGCCACAAGUCACUUGAAGACCAUUGUAGUAUUUUUCAAUGGAUCCGCCAGCUUGUUUCAUGCGAGUCACACUACGCCAGAGAUCAUAAACUUGAGAAGUAUCUGUCCCGUCAAAAUAGGUUGUAGCAGUAGAAUCCCAAACCUGUUUUGCAGAUGAGAAGCGAAUGAAAUUAGCGAUCAAGGAAGAGUCCAUUGAAUUGAUCAACUAUCCCUUUACAAUGGCAUUUUCAGUUCGCCAUCUCCUGAAAGAUGGAUCGAUUUCCGGAGGCUGGGGAGAAUCUCCAUUGAUAUAUCUCAACUUGUCUUUGCCAGAGAUAUACAUCUCAACAACUUGGGACCAUAAGGCAUAAUUGGAGUCAUCCAACUUGAUGCUGAUUGGAACAGUCGAAUAAAUCAACAGGCGGUGGGUGUGGUGAGGUCUGGGAUCUGGUCAAGACUUCUGUCAUCUUGGCCGUCAGGUUGGUAAGAAUUGAUUCGGUCUGGGGGUUGAGUUGUUGCAUCAGAUUAGUGGAUUCUUCCAUGGAUUCCAGCAAUUUGAGUUUUCUUUGGUCAUGAGGUGGGUUGAGCAGAAGUCCUAACUCCUAAGAACUCGCUUUGAUACCAUGUUGAACUGGAAGGUUUUUCUUUUUCGUGUCUUUUUUCUUCAGAAUUGAGUACAAUGAUAUAUAGAUACAGAUAGUAAUUUUAGGGAGCUAUUCUAGGCUAUACAAGGUCUGUGGCUAAAAUUGUGGUUGACCCUUGAAAUAUGGGAUUUUUAAAACAGAUUCCUAUAAUUUCUCUAUUCUAACAGCUCACGCCAACAGCUUUGUCCAGUAAAAGAGUAAUUCUCAACCCCCAACCCACUGGUCUAAAUGGGUCGCAGAAAUUCUCUCUAAUCCAACUUUUAGAGAGAGGCUUCACAAUAUGGGUUUGUACGGCGCGAUGAUGAUUUCUCAAAGGCUCACCCUGAACCACUCCAACAUCAACCUAGACGGAUUUGUUGGUUGUUGGAAUCGCGCCACUCAUACAUUCGUUUAGCGAUGGGGAGAGUUUAUCCUUGCCCUAGAGGACGUCGUGGUGCCGAUGAAACUUUCCAUCCGAGGCUCUAAGUUUUUUUAACCUUGCUGCGUUAUCUGAUGAUAGUCAGGCCGUCAUCACCGCACUGAGGAAAGCACUAGAGGACUAUGGGAAGGUGGAUCUCGCUUUGCAAGAAUGCCAACGUACUUAACGCAAUCCCCAAAAGAAUGACAUUCAAGCAUACUAGUUCAUGGCCAUCGAGCAAUGAAAAAAUGUUUCCACAAGUUGUUUUAUGCCGAUACCCAUCCUGGAUCCGCAACUAAUAGGAGGAGCCUACUGACCUUAAAAUCAAGCUUAGAAAAAUAUCUUGUCUUACUUAACUGGUGGAAUGAGUCGUGCAUGAGACGGAUUGAAUACUUGAUCCGCUAUUGCUUUCCCUUUCAUUUUAGGACAACAUGCAAGUAAUGUCAAAUUCUAAAAGAAGCGAUUGUCACCUAAACCUUCG
rnacentral:lncRNA from 1 species